CAUUUUUUGCAUGGUGUUCUAUCAGAAAGAUCUAAAGAAAAAGUAACGUCAGAGGAAGAGGUCCAUACUUCCCUGCCAAAACAUAAAGGGGGAGAUUUCUCAAGACUAGCACUUUUUUGCACCAGUCUUGAUAUCCCCUGCGCUGCCAGAGGUUGCACCUAGUUUAUGAUGAGUAAUAAAUUAGGUGCAUCCUCCGACAGUCCGUGCACCCAAACAAAUCUACAGCAGCUCUGAGCCGCCGAAGAUUGAGCUUCAUUUGUGCCAGAAAACUGGCAUAAAAAGAAGAUAAAAAAGUUUGUUAGGGCAGCUGGCCACACUUUUUUUUUUUUUUAAAUGUAGUACAUAGCAUGGCAACACCCUUAAAAAAUUCUGUGGUUUUUUUUUGGGGGGGGGGGGGGGGGGAAUAAAUCUGAGAAAAAGUGGUGCCUAUGCUGCAAACCCUCUAUACUUCCUCUUACCGGUUUUAUAAACCACUGCAAAUAAAUGCAUCACCAGUGAUAGCAGAUAAUGCGGACAUCUCAAUGGUCGAAGGUCUCCCAGCCAUGAAACGCCUAAAAAUGUAGCAGGAGCUACAGAAAAGGAGAACAAAAAUCCCACAGCAUGAGGUAAUGACCGAAAGUACAUACCCUGUCCUUUAGAUGGAAAUUAAUUUUGACCCUCUAAAAAUUUUUUUGCUUGGAGUCCUCCAUGUAUGCGGCAACAAAAAUUCUGAUACUGGUCACAUGAUUUAAAAAGUUGAAGGAAAAAAUUUUAUGAAAAUAAAAAAUGGUAACAGACAUGUAAAAGGAGGAAGACCGGUCAACCGCUCAAAGACGACCGGUCAACUCUCCUGACCUAUUUUAAGUAAAUCCUUCCACAUUAUAUAACCGUUCUGAAGCAUCUUUUCUCAUGACUCUUGUGCUGCGACGUAUUAUUAUUACUCCAAGAAAGGUGUGGCAGAUGGGUGUUGGCACAGUCCAAUCUAUUCAGUACGGAUUGGACAGACUGUGCAGGGACACAUCCCCAACUGGUAACACCCAGAUGUCAAUUUAUUCAUACACUUCCAGAAGGAGUAACAGAGGAACGGCACAAUUCAGAGUUUAAAGGAAAAGAUGGGUCCCCUCUAAUGUAAAACAAAUCUAAAAAGCAGGAAAAACAUGUUGUGCAGGGAUAAGGAAACCAAUUUACUGGACCUUUCAGCCAGGCUGGCAGCUAUCUCCUUCCUAUAAAACCGUAGA